rnacentral:misc_RNA from 1 species
CACCCCCCAAGCUUGGCUUGAUGUUGGACGGAGCGGAGAGAAUCUGCCCGUCUGAAACUUGUGAGGCGCCGUCCGUCGAGCACCAGCGUGGCAAGCAAACUUCGCUGGGAGUGUUUCGAUGGGUGGCGGCCGCGAACUACCUUUUUAUAUCAAAAUCA